rnacentral:rRNA from 1 species
UACGUAGGGUGCGAGCGUUGUCCGGAAUUAUUGGGCGUAAAGAGCUCGUAGGCGGCCUGUUGCGUCGGUUGUGAAAGCCCGGGGCUUAACCCCGGGUCUGCAGUCGAUACGGGCAGGCUAGAGUUCGGUAGGGGAGUCUGGAAUUCCUGGUGUAGCGGUGAAAUGCGCAGAUAUCAGGAGGAACACCGGUGGCGAAGGCGGGACUCUGGGCCGAUACUGACGCUGAGGAGCGAAAGCGUGGGGAGCGAACAGG